rnacentral:rRNA from 1 species
CCUACGGGAGGCAGCAGUGGGGAAUAUUGCACAAUGGGGGAAAGCCUGAUGCAGCAACGCCGCGUGAAGGAAGACGGUUUUCGGAUUGUAAACUUCUAUCAAUAGGGAAGAAAGAGAUGACGGUACCUAAAUAAGAAGCCCCGGCUAACUACGUGCCAGCAGCCGCGGGAAUACGGGGGGGGCAAGCGUUAUCCGGAAUUACUGGUAGUAAAGGGGGAGUAGGGGGCAAGGUAGGCGAUAUGUGAAAGCCUUAAGCUUAACUAAAGUAUUGCAUAAAGAACUAUCUAGCGAUAGUACAGGAGAGGAAAGCGGAAUUCCUAGUGUAGCGGUGAAAUGCGUAGAGAUCAGGAAGAACACACGUGGCGAAGGCGGCCUUCUGGACUGAAACUGACGCUGAGGCUCGAAAGCGUGGGGAGCGAACAGGAUUAGAUACCCGUGUAGUC